GGCGAACGCUGGCGGCGUGCCUAAUACAUGCAAGUAGAACGCACAGUUUAUACCGUAGCUUGCUACACCAUAGACUGUGAGUUGCGAACGGGUGAGUAACGCGUAGGUAACCUGCCUGGUAGCGGGGGAUAACUAUUGGAAACGAUAGCUAAUACCGCAUAAUAUUAAUUAUUGCAUGAUAAUUGAUUGAAAGAUGCAACUGCAUCACUACCAGAUGGACCUGCGUUGUAUUAGCUAGUAGGUGAGGUAACGGCUCACCUAGGCGACGAUACAUAGCCGACCUGAGAGGGUGAUCGGCCACACUGGGACUGAGACACGGCCCAGACUCCUACGGGAGGCAGCAGUAGGGAAUCUUCGGCAAUGGACGAAAGUCUGACCGAGCAACGCCGCGUGAGUGAAGAAGGUUUUCGGAUCGUAAAGCUCUGUUGUAAGAGAAGAACGGGUGUGAGAGUGGAAAGUUCACACUGUGACGGUAUCUUACCAGAAAGGGACGGCUAACUACGUG
rnacentral:rRNA from 1 species